UCUCGUCUCUUCCUGGCCACCUCCGGUGUCCCACGGACGCAUAGGAGAGUUUGAACAAAGACGAACUUCCGUGUCUUAUGGACGCACAGGAGAGUUUGAACAAAGACGAGCUUCCGGAGACGACCUGGGGAAGGCGCUGGGACUGGGAUGAAAAGGGAAAGUGCAUUUUGUGUGCACAAAGAGAAGGAAAGGUGCGCGGACUCUUUUUCCUCGGGCGCGCGGAAGAACCCCCGCCGCCUGUUCGGUGACGUAAGAGGCUUGUUAGCCGAGGAGGCGUGCAGUGGCCGGAGAGUGUGCUGCGCAUGCGCCUCUGGAAAGAAAGGAGCCUAGCCUCAGGGAAGGGUUUCUGGGUGAGCGCCUGCGCCCAACCUAGAGUCUCCCAGUGUUUCCCAGCCCAACUUGUCCUUAGCCCUCCUGAACGAAUUUAUUAGACGUGGAUGGAGAUCUUUUGUGUAAAGAUCACAUUCUUUGUUGACCUUACGCAAAAUUAUGUUGUCCCGUUCCUAUUAGUGAGUAAGGACAUGCAUCUUUUUAACCAUCCUGUGGGUGAUGGGAGACUGAAGCACUUUAGAAUUAAGAAAAUUAAGGGGAUCAUAUCCUGCGUGCUUAAGGCUACUUGUAAAAACAGUGGAUUAGACUACUGACGGCUUGGCUGUGCGCCAAUGGAAUUCUAGUCAUGAGCCAGUAUGUCUAGUAUUUCAGGGUCCUGUUUAUCACUAACUAGGUCCUUAACGAAUGUGAACUAAAUGUGUUUUAUUUACUUGAGUACUUUUUACUCCAGUUGGUAAAUUUUGCAAAUCUUACAAUGGUUCUACUUAUGAAAAGAAUGCAGAUAGCUUUGGGAAGAAGGGGAGACCUGGAACUUAACCAUUUACCUAGUCAAGCAUUCAUUUUACAUCACUGGAAAAAAACAAAAA
rnacentral:lncRNA from 1 species